UCCCCUAUACAUGACUGUAACAAAGAAGCAGGUAGAAGUAAUAGCUUCAGUUGUAAUCCCUCCCGCGAGGGACGAUCGAGACAGUACCCUGCAAAAAGACCACGGGUAAAUCUGUGGCCACCGCCCGCGGGAUUACAAACGGUGAUAGCAGUAUAG
rnacentral:rRNA from 1 species